CGCCCAAAGGGGACACCACUCCUCUGGUGUCAUGGCUGCGGUGGCGUGGAGCCCUACUGAGCAUGCGCAAACGAGUCAGCCCCCGUGGUCGUGAAGGCGCAUGCGUUGCCGGCAGAGGGGGAAGAAGAGACUGAGUUUGUCCUUCAAGGAUCAGCAUGCAGGCAGCUCUGGAGGUGACUGCACGGCACUGUCGCAAAGAAACAGAGGCGUAUGGCCAGUGUGUCGCCACCAACCCUUCCUCCUGGCAGCAGGACUGUCACCAGCUCAAAGUAGAAAUGGCCAAGUGCACCUCUUCACACCCAAUUGUACAGAAGAUUCGUCAGGAUUGUGCCGAACCAUUUGCUGCUUUCGAACAGUGCCUUAAAUUAAACCAGACGUCCGUGAUCAACUGCACAGAACAUGUCCAGCAGUUCUUACUCUGUGCUGACAAAGUCAAACUGGCCACCUAAGGACAAAACAGUGAUAUCUUCUUCAGUGGUAACCUACUCAUUCAUAGUUUUGAUUGGACUAAAUAUUUCUGUCAAGAAUGGCAGCAACAGCACCUACAUUCUCGAAACCCUGUUUGGUCACAGGAAUCUUUCCCGGGCCUGAAUGUUAUUUGACCAUCUGUGGUUGUCCCAACACUGUCCCUGCUUGGCAUGUCAAAUUACAACUUCUCUUGAGGAAAAAAUCACAGAAGCUGCAUUGGCAUGACAUUGGGAUCAUAACUUUACCGGCAAAGCCAGAACUGGCUCUUGGAACCUAUUGUAUGUAUUUUACUAUACCUGCCUGGAACCUAUCCAGACAUGGCACAAUAAACUGCAAAUCAAUGAAAAAGCA